GCGGCGGCCGCCCAGCGCCAAGAAUGUAUCGCGAGCAGCGCCAUCUUGAGCGAGGAAAGAGGAACCGGGAGCGGAGGAUUGUGGGACACUGGCGGAUUGAACUCGGCGGCUUUCAUUGCCUCUCCCCUCCCCCCCAGCUCGUGUCUGACACCGGAAAUAGCUUGUGUCUGAAGAUACCUAUGCUUAGCCCUUCCCUUUGGUUUCUUCAGAGUUCCUAAUGAAAAACUGCUAGAUUAGCUGAUGGAUGCAUCCUGUUGGACAGAAGGUUCCCAGCCACAACCAAGAGGGAUACAUGUCUCCAGAACAACGGAUGGUAGACAGUAUCCCACAACGGCUGUCUACCUCGGAAGACUCCCCUUCUCCAUUCCCCCAAGAGCCAACUGAUGUCCACUAGUCAGCUGGAAGCAGCUUUUGAGAGAAACAA